GCCAGCAUGGCAUAGUGGUUUUAGCACUGGACUUUAACUCUGGAGGCCAGGGUUCAAAUCAUCACUCGGCCAUGGAA